rnacentral:lncRNA from 1 species
GCUGCAGGGGACUCGUUUAAAUCCAUUGUUUAGAUACAUCCAUUCUGGCAUUCUGUAUGGUGUACUUGCGGCAUGUAAGCUGUAGGAUGUUUAAGUGCUCUCCUGUCACGAUUUGACAGGUCCCUGAUUUCAAACCUGUUGUGAGAGAUCGUCUAAUGAACAGCACCUUCAACAUCAUCAGUCCGCAUUUCCUGCAUUUCACGAGGACCGACUGGAUUCUUUGGUUCCGUGUGAAACUGGUACCUCUCCUCCCAAGUUUCAGUCCAACCAUGCUGCAGAAUGCAACCUCAAACCUAAGCUGUACAAACUACCAUGUCGUGUGAGUAAUAUUUGACGAACAAGCAAGAUUGCAUGGCACCAACCAAAGUAAAAAAAUGCUAUGGAGGGAUUGUGUGAGAUCGUUCCUUUUCUGUCUUUGCAGCGUGAGUGGGUUGGCCAGAGCUUUCCCUGCAAUGUCGAUGCACACGCGACAAGGAAUCGCAGACGUUAUGGUGGGCUACCUGAGAAGUUCUCCUAGAGUCAUCAACCAGACAGCUUGCAGGCAGGGAAAUCAGAGUGAUUCGGAAUGGCUUGGAGCCAACUUUGGUCCAUUUUCCAAAUACACGACAUACUCUGAGCUCAAAGUCUUCAACCUCUCUGUGCUGGCAGUUUCGGACUCCCUCUCACCAGACCAAAAGGCUGAGCUGAUCCUGGACCCAGACAGAGACGCUUUCGAGGAUGAGGCUGUAGUAAGGGAGGUGUUCAACAGCUUGACGGAGCUGGAAAAUGAUGAGCAGUUGGAUCCGUUUUUCCAGGCUUUUGCAAAAAUAAACAAGCAGGUCCCUGAUUUCAAACCUGUUGUGAGAGAUCGUCUAAUGAACAGCACCUUCAACAUCAUCAGUCCGCAUUUCCUGCAUUUCACGAGGACCGACUGGAUUCUUUGGUUCCGUGUGAAACUGGUACCUCUCCUCCCAAGUUUCAGUCCAACCAUGCUGCAGAAUGCAACCUCAAACCUAAGCUGUACAAACUACCAUGUCGUCGUGAGUGGGUUGGCCAGAGCUUUCCCUGCAAUGUCGAUGCACACGCGACAAGGAAUCGCAGACGUUAUGGUGGGCUACCUGAGAAGUUCUCCCAGAGUCAUCAACCAGACAGCUUGCAGGCAGGGAAAUCAGAGUGAUUCGGAAUGGCUUGGAGCCAACUUUGGUCCAUUUUCCAAAUACACGACAUACUCUGAGCUCAAAGUCUUCAACCUCUCUGUGGCGACAAUACUAGCCUCUCUUUCUCCAAGACAAAAAGCUGAAUUGCUUCUUGAACCAAACAAUUUCACAAAUGAGACCCUUGUGAGACAAACAUUCACGCAACUGACUGUUUCAUCACGUGUGGAGGAACUUGGUUCUUUCUUUGAGAAAUUUGUUAGCGGUGCUGCAGAGCAAAACCUGACAACCAUUGAUCCAAGAGUGCGUGACACCGUGCUAAAUCUGACACUAAUGGCGCUUGGAUCAAAAGUAUCCAUGCUAAAUGCUGAGGGAUUCAAGUUGUGGUUUCAGGUCUACCUACCUCUAUUCCUCCCAAGCAUUGACUCAACCACCUUUGAAAUUAUUCCAAGAAAUAUCAGCUGUGACUCCUAUCAAGAGAUGUGA